UACGUAGGGACCAAGCGUUGUUCGGAUUUACUGGGCGUAAAGGGCUCGUAGGCGGCCAACUAAGUCAGACGUGAAAUCCCUCGGCUUAACCGGGGAACUGCGUCUGAUACUGGAUGGCUUGAGUUUGGGAGAGGGAUGCGGAAUUCCAGGUGUAGCGGUGAAAUGCGUAGAUAUCUGGAGGAACACCGGUGGCGAAGGCGGCAUCCUGGACCAACACUGACGCUGAGUGAGCGAAAGCCAGGGGAGCAAACGCG
rnacentral:rRNA from 1 species